GUAAAACAUCUCCUUGCCAAGGAGAAGAUGCGGGUUCAUU
rnacentral:tRNA from 1 species